AUUGAACGCUGGCGGAAUGCUUUACACAUGCAAGUCGAACGGCAGCACGGACUUCGGUCUGGUGGCGAGUGGCGAACGGGUGAGUAAUAUAUCGGAACGUGCCCAGUCGUGGGGGAUAACGUAGUGAAAAUUACGCUAAUACCGCAUACGAUCUAUGGAUGAAAGCGGGGGAUCGCAAGACCUCGCGCGAUUGGAGCGGCCGAUAGCAGAUUAGGUAGUUGGUGAGGUAAAGGCUCACCAAGCCGACGAUCUGUAGCUGGUCUGAGAGGACGACCAGCCACACUGGAACUGAGACACGGUCCAGACUCCUACGGGAGGCAGCAGUGGGGAAUUUUGGACAAUGGACGCAAGUCUGAUCCAGCCAUUCCGCGUGCAGGACGAAGGCCUUCGGGUUGUAAACUGCUUUUGUACAGAACGAAAAGGUCUCUAUUAAUACUAGGGGCUAAUGACGGUACCUGAAGAAUAAGCACCGGCUAACUACGUGCCAGCCGCCGCGGUAA
rnacentral:rRNA from 1 species